rnacentral:rRNA from 1 species
GACGAACGCUGGCGGCGUGCUUAACACAUGCAAGUCGAACGGAAAGGCCCCAGCUUGCUGGAGUGCUCGAGUGGCGACCGGGUGAGUAACACGUGGGCAAUCUGCCCUGCACUCUGGGAUAAGCCUGGGCAACUGGGUCUAAUACCGGAUAGGACCUUUCUCCUCAUGGGGUUUGGUGGAAAGUUUUUCGGUGCAGGAUGGGCCCGCGGCCUAUCAGCUUGUUGGUGGGGUAAUGGCCUACCAAGGCGACGACGGGUAGCCGGCCUGAGAGGGUGAUCGGCCACAUUGGGACUGAGAGACGGCCCAGACUCCUACGGGAGGCAGCAGGGGGGAAGAUUGCACGAUGGGCGAAAGCCUGAUGCAGCGACGCCGCGUGAGGGAUGGCGGCCUUCGGGUGGGAAACCUCUUUCAGUAGGGACGAAGCGCAAGUGACGGUACCGGCAGAAGAAGCACCGGCUAACUACGU